rnacentral:rRNA from 1 species
GACGAAGGGGGCUAGCGUUGUUCGGAAUUACUGGGCGUAAAGCGCGUGUAGGCGGUUAUCCAAGUCGGGUGUGAAAGCCUUGAGCUCAACUCAAGAAAUGCACUCGGUACUGGGUGACUAGAGGACCGGAGAGGAUAGUGGAAUUCCCAGUGUAGUGGUGAAAUACGUAGAGAUUGGGAAGAACACCAGUGGCGAAAGGCGACUUCCUGGCCUGUUCUUGACGCUGAGGCGCGAAAGCUAGGGGAGCAAACGGG